AUAAUCAGUUCUCCCUGUCCAUGGUGGACAGGACAAGUGAUGUGCUUAGUGAAUGCUACAAGGAAAAUUCAGGUUAAAUAUGAAAAUGAUAAGGAUGGAGAAGCAUAGAAAUAGGCUCCCUGGGGAGGCAGGAACAAUGAUGAGGGUAGAGCUCACUCUGCCAUGGGGCCCACGGACCCUUCCAUCACUGUGAUUCAGUGAUUACAGCAACAUUAGAGAACUGGGAGCUCCCUAUCUUGGCUUCAUCUUAUCUCUUUAGAAUGGGUGUCUCCUUAAGCUGCAUUGUAUAUUCGUCACUUUUUCCUUUGAUUUAGCAUGAUUUGUGUUGAGCAAUCUGAAUGAGCAAGAUGCCUUCUUUCUGUACUCUGAGAUAAUACCACUAAUAAUUAUAAUUUCAUUUACAAAAGAAAUAUAUAAAUCUCUAUAUAAGACUUCCCCACUUACAGUAACAUGUUUAUCUUCAAGUAGUGCUGUGAUUUCUAAGGGAUUUAUCUAGGAGUAAGGAUGUGUGUCUCUAUUACUAUUGUGAAACUAGCAUUAACCCUUUCCACGUUAGCAGGGUCAUGCUGAACCACAGGAAAGACCCAUCCCUGUUCACAAAAGCGCCACUCGUUCCUUAUCUGGGCUCUCGAGAACAAGAAUUUCCUCUGCUUAUAUCUGUACAAAACCUGCCUCACACAUGGGACAUAGACUUGGCUGGAGUCCCCAAAUCCAUUGUAGUGCAAAUACAGAAACAAUCAGUGAAAUCCUUCCUAAAUCUCCAUGCCUUCCUUACAAUAAUAAUUAAAGGUGAAUUAAAUAAUGACAGUCAGGGAGGUGGUCAUGGAGGUUCAGGCCCACUGAAAGUCAAGCGAUAUAUGCCAUGUUCAAGCACCCGGACUCCCAACAGAAGCCAGAGGUCCGAGUCAGGUAGCACUGCUCCCUUCCAGGCACUGCACAUCCUUGCUGCUGACAGAGGGCAGCCGCACAUUUAUCUCAAAGAAAUCACCAGGCAUCACUCUUAUCUCUCCCUUAAUUUGCAAGAGUCCAAUGUGCAGGUUAUUUCUGUUUCAGCUGCUUCUAGUGAUAGGGUUUCAGCUCCAAAACUGGCUUUCCCCAGGACAGGGUUCAGCCACUUGAGUAAGGUUUAUUCUGGGCAGAGAAGGGAUGGGAUAGGUAAAGAUGGAUAUGUCCUACCCCUUGUCUCCAGGCUGUGCCACUCUGCACAAAGCAUCCAGGUUUUCUGGCACAGAGAGAGCCCAGAAGCAGAGGAGCAGGGACAAUUUCACCUGCCAACGUGGGGGAGUGAGAAGUUGUUCUAACUUCAGUCUCUGCACGGGACAGUUUCUGCUCUUUAUCCAGUGGCUUGACAGGAUAGAAGACGUCAAACAUACAAACAGACUCAACACAGAGUGGUUAGAGCCACAGUCCUGGCAGCGACAGCACCUUUCUCAGAGGGUCUGAGGUCGCCCAGGUGGAGGUGGAGUGGUUCCCACUGUCCCCCCACCCUGGGCAAGAGCACUGACUCCCGAGGAAGGCCUGAGGCAGCUCUCCCUUGUCCCUGGGCAAAGGGAUGCUCGACUUCAGCAUCAGCUCUGCCGGGCACCGCGGGACAGUCCGGGGCAUCUACAGAAGCUCAGCUUGGAGAAACCGAAGUGACACACGGACGAGCCUUCUGGGACCGGGGAAUCUGCUCCACGUCCCCCCACCCCACCCCGCGCUUUCGCCCGUUGUCCCCCUCCCGGUGCCGCGGCU
rnacentral:lncRNA from 1 species